CACGUAGGGUGCGAGCGUUGUCCGGAAUUAUUGGGCGUAAAGAGCUCGUAGGCGGUGUGUCGCGUCGGCCGUGAAAACUUGCAGCUUAACUGUGGGCGUGCGGUCGAUACGGGCAUCACUGGAGUUCGGCAGGGGAGACUGGAAUUCCUGGUGUAGCGGUGAAAUGCGCGGAUAUCAGGAGGAACACCGGUGGCGAAGGCGGGUCUCUGGGCCGAUACUGACGCUGAGGAGCGAAAGCGUGGGGAGCGAACAGG
rnacentral:rRNA from 1 species